CCUACGGGAGGCAGCAGUGGGGGAUAUUGCACAAUGGCGGAAACCCUGAUGCAGCGACGCCGCGUGGGCGAAGAAGUAUUUCGGUAUGUAAAGCCCUAUCAGCAGGGAAGAAGAAAUGACGGUACCUGAGUAAGAAGCACCGGCUAAAUACGUGCCAGCAGCAGCGGUAAUACGUAUGGUGCAAGUGUUAUCCGGAUUAACUGGGUGAAAAGGGAGCGAAGGCGGCAAGGCGAGCCUGAUGUGAAAGCCCGCGGACCAACCACUGGACUGCAUUGGGAACUACCGGGCUGGAGUGCCAGAAAUGUAGGCGAAAUGCCUAGUGUAGCGGUGAAAUGCGUAGAUAUUAGGAGGAUCACCAGUGGCGAAGGCGGCCUACUGGACGGUGACUGACGCUGAGGCUCGAAAGCGUGGGGAGCAAACAGGAUGAGAUACCCCAUAGU
rnacentral:rRNA from 1 species